UGUGGAAUUACAAGACGCAUCGGUGCCUCUUCACUCUGCUGGGGCAUCUUGAUUAUAUCCGGACUGUGCAGUUUCACGAGGAGUAUCCGUGGAUCGUGUCUGCGAGUGAUGAUCAGACGAUUCGGAUCUGGAACUGGCAGUCACGGACGUGUAUAUCGGUGCUAACUGGGCAUAAUCAUUAUGUGAUGUGUGCCUCCUUUCACCCGAAGGAGGAUUUGGUUGUGUCGGCAUCGCUGGAUCAGACGGUGAGGGUGUGGGAUAUAGGUGCGUUGAGGAAGAAGACGGUGUCGCCGGCGGAUGAUGUGCUUCGUUUGACACAGAUGAAUGCUGAUCUUUUUGGGGGUGUGGAUGCGGUUGUGAAGUAUGUUCUUG
rnacentral:misc_RNA from 1 species